UCAUUAGCUUCAAAUGUUACAGAUUCUUAUCUAAUCAAAUUUUUAUUAACUAUGAUUAUUUGCCAAUAAAUAAAUUUUGAGUUUUAGGAGCCAAUUCAUUUUGGGAGUGAAAUUAAUAAAUCAACAAUGGCGAUGGCAACUUUCUCCUCCAAUUACAAUCCAUUUGUAUGCUGUACCACAGGUGACUUGUGAACAAAUUUGCUUUCAAUCUCACAAUCACAACACAGGAUCUGAUCUGAUGAGCUAGGAGAUAAGUUUAGUUACACUUCAAAUAAUAGAUAAAUGAUUUGAUAAUCUCAUUUAAAAGGAAUCUGGAUACGGCAAAAAUUGGAAUAUUGACAAAUAAAUUUUGCAAAUAAUAGUCCUCUCAACAAAAACACAACAAAAACCUUAAAAUCAUGGAUCUUGAACAAUAUUGAACCCAAAUUCCAAAGAAAAGAAGAAGAUGGAAUUUCUAGAGUUUUCUAACCAAGAAAAAAAAAUAUCGC
rnacentral:lncRNA from 1 species